CAAAAAUAUAUUUCAUAAGACAUCAGAAUAUACUUUUUUCCCCAAAAAGAAAAUUUCUCGCUUUCUUCACGAAACUUCACACGAAGAACCCGAUUUACCCCCAAAUCACUGAAGGUUUAUCAGAACAGAAGAACAGAUUUCACGAUUUCACGUUCAAGAGCUGAAGAACUAAUCGCUGAAGAACACGAUUUCACGGUUUUUUGUUGAAGACGCUUCAUAGAUGAACACGCCUCACUAAAAUGCUUAUCGCUGAAGAGCACAAUUUUCUCACAGAACUGAAGAAUAGUUUUUCGUCAACUUUCUCACAGAACAGAAGAACAGAUUUCACGAUUUCACGUUGAAGAGCUGAAGAACUAAUCGAUGAAGAACACGAUUUGACGGUUUUUGUUGAAGACGCUUCAUUGAUGAACACGCCUCACUAAAAUGCUUCAUCACAUUGAAAGGAUUUUUUUUGAAUAGGUUUUAUCAGUCAGACUAUCGAGACAUGAAAUCGGUCUCCUAAUGCUGCUCGAACAUUAGAUUUAGCUUCCAACUCUUGAAGCUAGAACUGGUGGGGCACGACGAGCUGGUGAAGUUGAAGGAAGCAGUUACAACUAUCGUUCAGUCUUGACAAUUGCAUUCCAGUACCCUUCUGAGAAUAACUAUCGAGAAAAUGUAGCUGCUAUGGCUCGCCAAUAUGAACGAAGCAUUGUAGGCUCUGUUGAGAGAGUUGCUAUGGCUAUUGCACCCUCUCGACUCUGCUCUCAGUUGACACCUAAAUCCUUCCCUGGCUCACCAAAAGCUGUCACUUUUGCGAGAUCAAUUUGCAGGAGCUAUAAGAAUCAUACUGGUGAGAAUUGCUACAGGUUAAUUCUCAAGCUGUCGGUGAUACUGUUCGGAAGCAACUAUGGCACUAUACUGAUUGAAUAAUUUGCUGCUCCGUCAAAAUGAGUGUCAGUUCUUGCAUGUCGUUGCUGCAGGAUGAAUUGGAGGCAGAACUUGAAGAAUUAGAAGAGUAGCUGCUUCAACCAGCAGCUACUGUUCCUGCUGCUCCAGUCCAUGUUCCUGCAGGAAACCAACCUGCUCUGUCCUUUCCUUAGAAGCGUACAGCUGAAGAAGAUGAACUUGUUGCGUCAAGCAGAGAUGGCUUUUUGAGCUAGUAUGCCUAUGAGUAUUAACUAGUAACUUACUGAUUGGUGAAAUGUGAGCUCAUGUGUUUGAAAGAUUCCACCAAACCACAUGCAAUAUUUUUGAUAUGAAUUGUUGGGGUCCUUACUUCCAUUUGCAUAUAGUGUAUCUAGUAGUAUUUACAAUCAUUUGGUCCAGAUUACUUACUUGGAUGAAAAUUCUAAUCCUUUAUUGAUUUGUGAUCGUAUUUGUUUUUCUGCAGGUAUUUUCACAGGUAGCUUACAUAUAGAGACUGGUUUUACACAUGUAAGAAAACACUGAAAAUUAUUUCACAUUUCUCCUUUCUAUGGAAACUCAUUUUUGUUGUUGUACUCCUUAUGAUAAAACAUAUGGAUUGAGACAUUCACAGGCUGCAUGGAACAUAUGCAGCUACCAUAAGCAAGCAACCAAGGUAACUAAUUUACUCUAUAUUAAGUCUGCUUGGUUGCUUUCUCCGCCCUCUCCGUUAUCUCUUUAACUGAAACUUUAUUUACUAGCGAAAGAACAUAAUAAACUGAUUGUGAUUAUGUUAGUUGUUCCUUCAGAAAACAUAGGAGAAAUACUCCUCCAGCAUGAGGGGUGAACUAAAAGGCAGGUAUUUAGAUUUUUAGCGUAAGCACAGUCGCAAAAUGGAAACAAAAAGGAUGAGAAAGAGCUGAGGUGUAAGCAUGAGGAUAGCCAAGUUUACUUUGCAACCCACCGAAGUGCUGCAUUUAGCCCUUGCUCCAACAUGCGAAGCCUAGAAGGAAGUGGAUUAAGAAAGCGAUGAAAAGGAUCAAUCGACGUUUCGCCGAUCAGUUUCAUGAAGCAGUGUUUUUCCGCCCAAUGUUACAUCAUGCAUAGACGAUGAAGGCAAAGCACAAAUGGGGACGAACUACAAGAAGGGCGAAUCGUCGAAUCACUUGGCGAUUCAAGACUACAUUCGCCGAACGGAUUCUCCAACACUUAAUCUGAAGUCUAUAACUACUAAUUUCUUUAUCAUUUUCUAGGGAUUCGAAAAUUAUUUUCACUUUUAACUUUUAGAUCCUUUGUUUUUGUAUUUUUUUUCAAGUUUGGAGAGGAUUUUGCAGAAGACUUGAAGAAAUGAGCUCUUCUUCCUCAAAUUGGAAGAAAAUGAAAGUGGAUGACCACUAUGGAUGUCACACAGAUCAUCCUCUCCUAAAGCUAUUGAACCUCAGAGAUAAUAGACUAACGUUCAAACAGGCAGGAAAAGAGACAAUUUUGGAAAUGUGGUUGAGGUUCAAAGAAAACUUGCAGACAUGCAAACCUAAUGGAGUUCGUGGUAAGAAACUUCUGGAUUAUUUCCGUCGGGGUUUGAACCCGAAAAUAGAAGAAUCUUGAGCACCUUUGCGAAGCGGGAAUGCUAAACCAACCCUCACCUAUUGUUGCUACACUACUUGAUAAAAUGGUGAAACCAACAAAGAAGCCCAAAAGAAAUACGAAUGGGAUAAACUAGUGGCGCAAGUAGAUGUUCUAUCCAAACUGUCACGAUCUGAGAGAACCCCCAAGUCGUGACGCGGCGUACUCGAACUCUCGGAGGUCUUAUACAAGUCUCUUAGCAU